rnacentral:lncRNA from 1 species
GGCAAAGGGUCUAAAUUGUUGCAGAUAAUGGCCAAUGCUCCACUUUCAACACAGACAUAAUUUCAUUGUAAAAUGGUCAAGAUUGGUUAAAAUACAUAGCCAGCAACCAGUCUAAGUGCUAAACCAAUCUUGCAAACACAUAUUAGCCAGCAACCAGUCUAAGUGCUAAACCAAUCUUGCAAACACAUAUUUACAAAAGCAUAAACUUACAUUUCAUUAAACAAAAGAAAAAAGGCCAUUGACACCACUCAACAAGAAGUUGGUAUUAAAAUCAUGGCACUUACAAGCAUCAAAAAGGGUCUAAAAACAUGCAAAUGUUCUUAUAUACAUAAACAUGUCAGGUCUUUAUAUGAUACCCUAAAACGCCAUAUCUAUUUGGAUCAAGUGGAAGAGUGACCAGCAGCUAGCCAGGAUUUCAGUCUAGUACAACAUAACCUUGCCUUCGAAGACGGCGCAAUUGAUGAAGGGGCGGUACACGAAGACGAGCAGGAAGGUCAUAAUCAUCAUCAUGGACAACAUGAACACCUCC